UACUGUAUAAAUAUGCCGAUUGGCAAUGGAAUGAAGCAGAUCAGUUUUCUACCAUUUCAAACAAACCAUAUGACAGGAGCCACACUCGGACUAGCAAACUGGGGAGGUGAAGGGGAAGGGGUGUAGACCGGGAUGACUAUUUGCUCUGGAGUUUGAGAAGAAUAAGGCUGCACCCGUUUCUACUUCUUGUUUGCUUUCUACUACUAGUUUUGAGUCCUUUAAUUGUAAUAAUGAUUGGCAUUUGUGGCAUAAACGCCUUGGCCAUCCGUUUUCUUAGAAACUUGAUUAGUUAUUUGCUUCUGGUAGUUUACCUAUUUCUGUUAUUUCCUUUAAGAACGUUAAUAACGGCUGCAUUACUUGUGGUUUA